rnacentral:rRNA from 1 species
AACGAACGCUGGCGGCAUGCCUAACACAUGCAAGUCGAACGAAGGCUUCGGCCUUAGUGGCGCACGGGUGCGUAACGCGUGGGAAUCUGCCCUUUGCUUCGGAAUAACAGUUAGAAAUGACUGCUAAUACCGGAUGAUGUCGCAAGACCAAAGAUUUAUCGGCAAGGGAUGAGCCCGCGUAGGAUUAGGUAGUUGGUGGGGUAAAGGCCUACCAAGCCGACGAUCCUUAGCUGGUCUGAGAGGAUGAUCAGCCACACUGGGACUGAGACACGGCCCAGACUCCUACGGGAGGCAGCAGUGGGGAAUAUUGGACAAUGGGCGCAAGCCUGAUCCAGCAAUGCCGCGUGAGUGAUGAAGGCCUUCGGGUCGUAAAGCUCUUUUACCAGGGAUGAUAAUGACAGUACCUGGAGAAUAAGCUCCGGCUAACUCCGUGCCAGCAGCCGCCGUAAGAC